rnacentral:sRNA from 1 species
UAAAAGUUAAGGAAGAAAAAACAUUGGUAAUUUUAGUCACAUAUUGCUUACCUUUGGACUCUAUUAGGAUCAGUAUGAUGCAAGACUCGAUGGUAGGCCUUGUAUUAAAUAGAGAUGGUGGCUUCACAAAUUGGCAUUCGCUCUAUUUUGUGAAUGAUUGAUGGUCGAUGAUGUAGAACUGACACGAUGGCGGCCGCUGCUCUUGUGUGGGAUCAAAUGGAAGGGAUGUGUUGGUGGAGUGAAGUGCACUACAAAUAUGUGAUUGAUCUCUGAUACAGUACUCAACCUUGGUGAAUAACACACACAAGACAAAGAACAAGCUUACUCUCUCAAUAACACUUAAAGAGAAUAAGUAAGAAAAUGCGGCUUCUUUGUUAAGGGUGAAAAUUCGUACAAUUGUUGAAGAGGGACUUUAUAAGAGUCCUUCAGCUAGCCCUAAGGCCA